GAUGAACGCUGACGGCGUGCCUAAUACAUGCAAGUCGAGCGAACAGAUGAGGAGCUUGCUCCUCUGACGUUAGCGGCGGACGGGUGAGUAACACGUGGAUAACCUACCUAUAAGACUGGGAUAACUUCGGGAAACCGGAGCUAAUACCGGAUAAUAUAUUGAACCGCAUGGUUCAAUAGUGAAAGACGGUUUUGCUGUCACUUAUAGAUGGAUCCGCGCCGCAUUAGCUAGUUGGUAAGGUAACGGCUUACCAAGGCAACGAUGCGUAGCCGACCUGAGAGGGUGAUCGGCCACACUGGAACUGAGACACGGUCCAGACUCCUACAGGAGGCAGCAGUAGGGAAUCUUCCGCAAUGGGCGAAAGCCUGACGGAGCAACGCCGCGUGAGUGAUGAAGGUCUUCGGAUCGUAAAACUCUGUUAUUAGGGAAGAACAAAUGUGUAAGUAACUAUGCACGUCUUGACGGUACCUAAUCAGAAAGCCACGGCUAACUACGUG
rnacentral:rRNA from 1 species